rnacentral:tRNA from 3 species
GCCGGGGUGGUGGAAUUGGUAGACACGCAGCCUUGAGGUGGCUGUGGCGCAAGCCGUGACGGUUCGAGUCCGUUCCUCGGUA